rnacentral:SRP_RNA from 1 species
GCUGGGCAUGGUGGCGUGCGCCUGUAAUCCCAGCUACUCAGGAGGCUGAGGCAGGAGAAUUGCUUGAACCCGGGAGGUGGAGGUUGCAGUGAGCCGAGAUUACGCCACUGCACUCCAGCCUGGGUGACAGAGCAAGACUCCGUCUCAA